rnacentral:tmRNA from 1 species
GGGGCCGUUUAGUUUCGACGGGAAUAACAUUUUUAAAGGGCAAGUCGUCAAGGUAUGAUGUCAUAAUCCAAAUUAAAAAUAACUGGAAACAGAAAUCAAUUAGCUUUCGCUUAAUAAUUUAGAAGGCUGCUUCUUUAUUUCUUUACUCACGGGAAGUAAAAGAGGCUCGAUUAGUGAGUUAUAUCAACAAUUUAUUUUCUAGGAUUGUUGAUGAAUUUAAUAGAAAUUACUAAGUAAAAUUUUGAUAAUUUAUUAUUACUUAGGACAUCAACAAAUUAUCUAAACUUGUAGAACUUUAAUCUUGGUAUUUUCGGACAGGGGUGCGAUUCCCCUCGGCUCCACCA